CUUUUGCUAACUUGAAACACAAGGACCUCAAUGCAUCAUAUUUCAUGUUUGUUUUUUAUGCUGCAGGAAAGAUCUACAGACAGCUCGGGGUCCCGUUGAAGCAUGUCUCUGUCCAGACGCUGCUCCUGCCCAUUUAGAGCUAGUCCCUGUCCCAGGAGCAAGCAGAUAGGCACUCACGCAGGAAAGGGAGGUGGUGAGAGGAGACGUUUCUUGUUUCCGACACAGCCCAGGUGAAAGUUCUAAAGCGCAGCCGUGCGAUGCAUAGCAAUGAUGUCGUUUCGGACAGAGCACAGCGAAUCAGGUUGCAAAAGACGAGGCUGGCAGAGGUUAUCCCAACGACUUACUAAAGCUGCAAGUUUCCGUCAUUCCCGUUUUCUCCACUGAUGCUUCCUGUGACACAUAGGGAAAAGAAAUGUGACAUGUACCUGUGAGGGAGGUAGCAGGAUUCGACCUUCCGUCUUGUUACACGUUAGCAUUCUUCGUGGGAACGGUCACUGAGCUUUCAUAUCUGCCUUGGUUUUGCCAACGCUAGCUCCUCUGCUUUCUCCGUUCUUUGCAUCUGAGAACAAAUACAUUUGAAAAAUAGUUUUUGAUCAGGGAAAUGAAGUGCUCACCUGCUUUUCAUUCCAAUUCUUUGUUGUUAUUUUGUUCUUCUUUAAAUGCAAAUUUCUACAGUACUUCUUUUGUGUAGGGGCGAUAGCCAGCAACUUGAUCUGCCUUAACUUUUAUGUUUGCUCUCUGGUAACGUUAUCCAUGUUUUUUUCUCUCACCAGAACAUAUGGGCUAUUAACAUGUGAAUUAUGAGAACUGCUUUUUAUCUUUCUUUGUGGUACUGUGGUGUCCCAGUCUUUGGUCUGCAACGCUGUCUCAAUAGGUAUCUGAUAUUUGUUUUCUUCAGCACGUCUGAGCUGAGAUGCGCUCCGUACAGCGGCAAUGCAGCGGUCGGAUGGGUGAGCUGCACAAGCACAACCAUGUUGCGUGAUCCCAAGAGCACUAAAUUUUCAAAUAACAGCAGGUUCGUCUAUGAGGGCUUCCCCCGUGUGAUGAAGGCCCUUGAGUUGUGCCAACAGCCCAUGCUAGCACAGCUUCCUGACUUUCAGCCGCAGCCAUACCAUACGCCUUGCAGAGCUACCAUACAUUUGACUUUAUAAAAUCCCAUGCUGUCGUAGUAAUUUCUAGCCUGUAAACAGGAGUUUUGUGAUUCACAACACAAGCAACGGCAAAUAACUGGGAUUAAGGGCAAACAAAACCUUUAUAUAUGUAUGUUUAAAUUGCUAGUAAAUAUAGUAAGAUUGGAGGAUGCAUUGAAUGAAUAGUCCGAGCACCUAGUCCCAUGCAGCUGCCCAGAAGACCAGGGUGCACAGCCCGCUCCCACUGGUGCUGUCACAGCCGUCCCCAUUUCCCUCUUACACUGCCCAACUUGUGUUAGCAAGGGGCUCAAAACUGCCCUCUCCUCAUCGAAGAGCUGCUCACAGGCUAAGUGCAAGGGAAGGACUAAAAAUCACAGUUCCUCAAGGAGGGACUUUGGUGCAGCUCGAGGGACGGCAGCCUCCUGGGGCACGUGCGCCCCGUCGCCAGCAGGGCAGCGCACUACCUGCAGAAAGAGCAGCCAAAGGCGGCCAGCUUUGCCCCAUAAGCCAAACGCCAGCUUUCACACCAAGACUGAAGCCCCCCAGCUACGAGGAGUAACAUCUGCCCCUGCCUUGGGGGGUUUUCAUUGCGGAUAAGACCGCCCCAAACCCAUGCUCUUGAAGGCUGUACUGGGUGAGGAUUGCGAUUUCUUAAAGCAGCUGUCAAAAAAAAAUCUAUAUUAAAAAAAUCAAAAAUCAAAAGGGGAUGAAAUCCUGUUACCAAGAACUGCUGAGUUUUCCACAGUUCUAUUUUAUCAUAACAGAAGGCAUAACGGGCAAUUGUACUGCAGAGGGGUUACGCGCGCGGGGUGCUGCGAGACAUCCGAGCCUGCACGAUUGCUCAGCAGAGACAACCAUUUCGACUGUGUUCUGGGGUUCCUGCUGUGAUACUUCGCAUACAAGCAGGAUUGCUCCCAUUUUAUGCUCAUUUUGUUGGGUUUUUUUGUUUCCUUUUUUCUUUUUUGAAAAAGGGGAGGUGGCAGGUUUUGCAUUACCCACUUCCCUGUAAUUAAUCUAUAUCACAGCUAUAUGCUUCCUCAACCUAUAUUUCUGUUUCCUAGUAUAUUCAAUUCUUAUAUCUCAGUCAAUAUAUUACCUCCCCUGCCAAAAAAGAAUUAUUUGUAUAACCAGAUUAGUACUGAAUUUAUACUGUGUCUGAAGUACAGCUUUACUCACUUCGUUAUUCAGUUUGCUAUAAAUGUUGGGAAUAAAUUCCAAGAGAGAGAAUCA
rnacentral:lncRNA from 1 species